CCAUGAGUAAAGUGGCGCACGGGUGAGUAACACGUGACUAACCUACCCUUGAGUGGGGAUAACCUAGAGAAAUCUGGGCUAAUACCGCAUAAUACCUUCGGGUCAAAGGAGCAAUUCGCUUAAGGAGGGGGUCGCGGCCGAUUAGUUAGUUGGCGGGGUAAUGGCCCACCAAGACUGUGAUCGGUAUCCGGCCUGAGAGGGCGCACGGCCACACUGGAACUGAAACACGGUCCAG
rnacentral:rRNA from 1 species